rnacentral:rRNA from 1 species
CUACGGGUGGCAGCAGUGAGGAAUUUUGCGCAAUGGGCGAAAGCCUGACGCAGCAACGCCGCGUGAGUGAUGAAGGCUUUCGGGUCGUAAAGCUCUGUCAAGUGGGAAGAACCUGUAAAGUGCCAAUACCACUUUGCACUGACGGUACCACUGAAGGAAGCACCGGCUAACUCCGUGCCAGCAGCCGCGGUAAUACGGGGGGUGCAAGCGUUACUCGGAAUCAUUGGGCGUAAAGGGCGCGUAGGCGGCCCAGUAAGUCAGAUGUGAAAGCCCGGGGCUCAACCCCGGAAGUGCAUUUGAUACUGUUGGGCUUGAGUAUGGGAGAGGAAAGUGGAAUUCCUGGUGUAGAGGUGAAAUUCGUAGAUAUCAGGAGGAACACCUGUGGCGAAGGCGACUUUCUGGACCAAUACUGACGCUGAGGCGCGAAGGCGUGGGUAGCAAACAGGAUUAGAUACCCGAGUAGUC